rnacentral:rRNA from 1 species
AGCGAACGCUGGCGGCAGGCCUAACACAUGCAAGUCGAGCGAACCUUUCGGGGUUAGUGGCGGACGGGUGAGUAACACGUGGGAACGUGCCUUUAGGUUCGGAAUAACUCAGGGAAACUUGUGCUAAUACCGAAUGUGCCCUUCGGGGGAAAGAUUAAUCGCCUUUAGAGCGGCCCGCGUCUGAUUAGCUAGUUGGUUGAGGUAAUGGCUCACCAAGGCGACGAUCAGUAGCUGGUCUGAGAGGAUGAUCAGCCACAUUGGGACUGAGACACGGCCCAAACUCCUUCGGGAGGCAGCAGUGGGGAAUCUUGCGCAAUGGGCGAAAGCCUGACGCAGCCAUGCCGCGUGAAUGAUGAAGGUCUUAGGAUUGUAAAAUUCUUUCACCGGGGACGAUAAUGACGGUACCCGGAGAAGAAGCCCCGGCUAACUUCGUG